rnacentral:lncRNA from 1 species
AGUUUUAUUUUUGAAAUGUUAAAAUGAUAAGUUCCUCAAUGAUAAGAAAUUCCUAUCCAAGGGAUAUGUUGAUCCUGUUACAUAGGCAUAGCUUGUUCUCUCAAUGAGCUUUGUCAAAUUUUUGUGACCCUUAGUGAGAAACUUGUCAUACUCUCAUGAUCAAGAUCACGUAGACGCCACCACCAUAUGCUAAACUUCUACACUGGAAGUUAGAAAUCAUCAUUUCAUCCAUCCACAAAAUAAAGCACCAUGUUGCUCUAUAACCUCUCUCUCUAAAAGUAUCCUUGCAAAACAGAUUUGGGCUAUGCAAAAAGAAGUUAGCAAUCAUCAUUUCAUCCAUCCACAAAAUAAAGCACCAUGUUGCUCUAUGACCUCUCUCUCUAAAAGUAUCCUUGGAAAAGAGACUUGGGCUAUGCAAAAAGAAAUAAAGAACAUGCUCAUGAAAGCAUGAUGAAAAAAAGAAAAAAAAAGAAAGAAAAAGAUAGCCCAUGUCCCUAGAGAAAAAGCAAAGGAGAGAGAAGGAUCAUACAAAACGGAGUCCAUAUACCAUUCAUCAUAUUCACC